GAGGGAAUCUUGCGCAAUGGGGAAACCCUGAUGCAGCAACGCCGCGUGGGUGAGGAAGGCCUUCGGGUUGUAAAACCCUGUCAUGAGGGACAAAGGGUCGCGCCUCAAAUAGAUUCGCGAUUUGAUGGUACCUCAAGAGGAAGCACCGGCUAACUUCGUGCCAGCAGCCGCGGUAAUACGAAGGGUGCGAGCGUUGUUCGGAAUUAUUGGGCGUAAAGGGCGUGCAGGCGGUUUCGCAAGUCAGCUGUGAAAGCCCAGGGCUUAACCCUGGAAGCGCGGUUGAAACUGCGAAACUAGAGUCCCAGAGGGGAGAACGGGAUUCCGCAUGUAGAGGUGAAAUUCGUAGAGAUGCGGAGGAACAUCAGUGGCGAAGGCGGUUCUCUGGAUGGUGACUGACGCUGAGACGCGAAAGCGUGGGGAGCAAACAGGAUUAAAUACCCUGGUAGUCCACGCCGUAAACGAUGAGCGCUAGACGCUGCCAGUAUUAACCCUGGCAGUGUCGCAGCUAACGCAUUAAGUGCUCCGCCUGGGGAGUACGGUCGCAAGACUA
rnacentral:rRNA from 1 species